AUUGAACGCUGGCGGUAUGCCUUACACAUGCAAGUCGAACGGUAGAGGAGCAAUCCUCGAGAGUGGCGAACGGGUGAGUAAUACAUCGGAACGUGCCCAGUCGUGGGGAUAACGUAGCGAAAGCUACGCUAAUACCGCAUACGACCCGAGGGUGAAAGCGGGGGACUCGCAAGAGCCUCGCGCGAUUGGAGCGGCCGAUGGCAGAUUAGGUAGUUGGUGGGGUAAAGGCCCACCAAGCCUGCGAUCUGUAGCUGGUCUGAGAGGACGACCAGCCACACUGGGACUGAGACACGGCCCAGACUCCUACGGGAGGCAGCAGUGGGGAAUUUUGGACAAUGGGCGAAAGCCUGAUCCAGCCAUACCGCGUGCGGGAAGAA
rnacentral:rRNA from 1 species